CUGCGCUGUUUCAUCUCACAUCACUUGUCUUAGCACAUAUUGCAAGCAAAUCAAGCUCUCUGGUUUCAGCCUUUUUGGUGAACCACAAAGUUGAGGCAGGAAAACGGACAGCAGCCGAACGCUCAUCAGCUGGCUCCUCUUUGAGUCCUGUAACAGUGAAGUCAGGGUUCACGGGAGCAUAGCGUCAGAUGGACAGUCUGAGCAGUGACCUCCCUCACCCCUCCAGCUCCUCCAGGACAGCCAAGAGACACAGUCCUGCCAGUGUGUCCUGGGUCUUUUCUGUGCCUCCUCACAGGUGAGACAUGCCCCAAAUACUUCCCCUGGGAGGCAUCCAAGAGGCAUCUGGAAUAGCCUGGGCUACCUCAUCUGGUCCUCUUGACAUGGAGCAGCAGUGGCUCUACUCUGAGCUCCUCUCAGGUAUUCCUCUUCGAUUAACGUCAAAGCCAAUAGAAUGAGCACUGGACCUAAAAUAAUCUUCUUAAAAUGAGUACUGUAGAGUGUUGAGUGCCCUGCCAUUCACCUCACCCCCCAGAAUGCUUCACGACACAAGACGAGGUGAGCCUUAUGGACCAGGAUUGAAUUUCUUACAUGUCCUUUUCAGCAGUGAAUAAUAUUCUUGUAAUGUCUAUUAGUCCUGGCAGCCCCACAUGGGUCUUCUGGCAAAAAAUGUAAUCCCACACACUGACAAAGUACAUGAAGUCCAAUUGUAUCACUUAAUAUUGUAACAAUACUUUACUUGUACGUAUACCUUUAUAUAAUAAUGCC